AUGAAGCAAGACGUGUGUGUGUGUGUGUGUAUGUGUGUGUGUGUGUGUGUUUUACCAUCAUACAGUAGUUGUGACAGAGGCAGUAAAGAGGUCGGAUUGUGGUAGUAGUAGUGGUGGUAGUUGUGGUUGUAGGAUGGAGGUGGUUGUAGUGGUGAAAAUACUCUGUUUAUUAAGUGUUUCAUACACCGCAUCUGCUGAGCAUAACUGCUCCAAGUGGGUGACAACAGGAGUGGAUGAUACCUGGUCAGGACACCAAUUUGAAGCGCCAGUACCUACUUACCUGUACUUUCGAGGGCAGGAAAGUGAGGCAGUAACUAAUCUACAUAUAUGGUAUUAUAAGAAUCACUCAGAACAUUUCCUCACCACUCAGAAGUUAAUUUAUAAGAUCUCAGGUAAUCAGGUCUUUCACAUGGCUACAAUCAGAUCACAGAACCACCACAACACGACAAGAGCCCAGCUGUUUAUCAAUCCUCAACACCAAUUACUCCUGGGUCAAGGGUCGUUACAUAGUUUGAUCGUAACAAGCAAUUCGACUGUCUUAUGGCGAGGCUGUUACCAACCGGAUCUAUAUGGUACAAGCCCAGGUGCUACAUGCACAGGUACAAGCCCAGGUACUACAUGCACAGGUACAAGCCCAGGUACUACAUGCACAGGUACAAGCCCAGGUACUACAUGCACAGGUACAAGCCCAGGUACUACAUGCACAGGUACAAGCCCAGGUACUACAUGCACAGGUACAAGCCCAGGUACUACAUGCACAGGUACAAGUUUAUCAUUAGCCAAUAUCACAGUCGAGUUGGCAAUCUCAUUUGUAAUAAUUGUCAUUGUUUAGCCUGAAUGAUUUACUACAAGAAAUACCUGUAGGUGAGUUGUUAUUAUUAUUAUUGUUAUUAUUAUUAUUAUUGUUGUUGGUGAAAGUGACAAGAGAAAGUUGCUGAUUUAUGACGUCAUCACUUAAGGGUACCAAGUGCUCAUGGUGUAGUGGGUCUAACACACAGAAGGUCCCUGGUGAGCACAAGAGUUCUAUUAUUGUUUCUCUUGGAUUCUUUAUCUCUCUCUCUAACUAUCUAUCUAUCUUUCUGUCUUUCUCUGUCUUCUCGCUCUCUAUUUAUAUAUCUAUCUCAAUAUCUCUCUUUCUCUCGCUUUCUUUCAUUCUUUAUUUCUAUCAGUUUCCGUGUGAAGGAAUACAAGUAUUUCCGUUUUCUUUGAUCUACAUAACUUGGUAUUAAAGAAAAUGUGUCUUCCUCUAUUAUAAAUAUAUGCAGGAGUAACUAACCUAUUCCUUUAAAAUAAUAAUUAUUAAAUUUCCCCAUUAUUGAUUACCAUGAACACGUAAUAAUAAUACUAAAUUCCUCGGAAAAUUUUGUUGAUGAGAAACUUAACUGGAGAAACCACAUACAAGCCAUUCACAGUAAAAUCAAUGAACAGUGACGUAUCAUGUAUCACAGUCGACAGUCACUCACUCUCACAGCAAUGAAAGAAAUCUAUCAAUAACUUGCUUGACAAUAAUUACUUCCAGUUCCGGAAUAAUCAGAGAUACAACUUAAGGCCCCCAGAGCUACUAAGACCACCCCCCAUGCGCUCCUCUCAGUCCCAGACCUCCAUAAAACAUCACGGUGUGAAGGUGUGGAACAACUUGCCCCCACCCACCCCAGCAAAGACUAGGCUCCCUUCCUUUAGAUCAUCUCUAACAAAAUAUCUAUUGUCUAAGUAUUAAUAUUUCUUGUAACACCUACUAUAUUUACAGUACCUGCUUUUAUUGUACCACCAAAUCCGUUUUAUCGGAAAUUAUCAUGUAAAUAAAUAAGUAAUUACCAUGGCAAUAAACAUAAUUGCCAACUAGACAUAAUCCUGACAGCUCUGUCCUCAUGUUCAACCAUAUUACUGUACGACCCAGGAUGUACUGCUCCCCCAUUAUACUUAGGUUUUUAAAUUCCACUCUAAUAUAUAU